AACGAACGCUGGCGGCAUGCCUAACACAUGCAAGUCGAACGAGAUCUUCGGGUCUAGUGGCGCACGGGUGCGUAACGCGUGGGAAUCUGCCCUUUGGUUCGGAAUAACAGUUGGAAACGACUGCUAAUACCGGAUGAUGACGAAAGUCCAAAGAUUUAUCGCCAGAGGAUGAGCCCGCGUAGGGUUAGCUAGUUGGUGUGGUAAAGGCGCACCAAGGCGACGAUCCUUAGCUGGUCUGAGAGGAUGAUCAGCCACACUGGACUGAGACACGGCCCAGACUCCUACGGGAGGCAGCAGUGGGGAAUAUUGGACAAUGGGCGAAAGCCUGAUCCAGCAAUGCCGCGUGAGUGAUGAAGGCCUUAGGGUUGUAAAGCUCUUUUACCCGGGAUGAUAAUGACAGUACCGGGAGAAUAAGCUCCGGCUAACUCCGUGCCAGCCGCCGCAGUAACAC
rnacentral:rRNA from 1 species